rnacentral:rRNA from 1 species
GACGAACGCUGGCGGCGUGCUUAACACAUGCAAGUCGAACGAUGAAGAAAAGAAUUGAAGCUUCGGCAGAAAUUCAUUUCGGAUUAGUGGCAGACGGGUGAGUAACGCGUGAGCAACCUACCUCUUACAAAGGGAUAGCCUCGGGAAACCGGGAUUAAUACCAUAUAACAUUGCGACGAAGCAUUUCGAUGCAAUCAAAGCUACGGCGGUAAGAGAUGGGCUCGCGUCCCAUUAACCAGAUGGUGAGGUAACGGCUCACCAUAGUAACGAUGGGUAACCGGCCUGAGAGGGUGAACGGUCACACUGGAACUGAGACACGGUCCAGACUCCUACGGGAGGCAGCAGUGGGGAAUAUUGCAAAAUGGAGGGAACUCUGAUGCAGCGACGCCGCGUGAGUGAUGAAGGAAUUCGUUUCGUAAAACUCUGUUCUAUGGGAAGAAAAGGACUGUACCAUAGGAGAAAGCACCGGCUAAAUACGUG